rnacentral:lncRNA from 1 species
UAUAUAUAGAAUAAUAGGUAGUUUCGUUUUUGAUACUGACUAUAUCAUGUGGAAUAUCUAGACGAGCCCGUUAGGUCGAGUUAAGAUAUUCCACAUGAUAUAGUCAGUAUCAAAAACGAAACUACCUAUUAUUCUGUUUAUCGGUAAUUAUGACGUCACACAAUGUAUUGCCUAAUAUUUUCAGUGAUACAGCCAGUACGUUGAUACUCGAAAAUAUUAGGCAGUAAGAUCAAAG